rnacentral:rRNA from 1 species
UGGGGAAUAUUGCACAAUGGGCGCAAGCCUGAUGCAGCCAUGCCGCGUGUGUGAAGAAGGCCUUCGGGCUGUAAAGCACUUUCAGCGAGGAGGAAGGGUAGUGUGUUAAUAGCACAUUGCAUUGACGUUACUCGCAGAAGAAGCACCGGCUAACUCCGUGCCAGCAGCCGCGGUAAUACGGAGGGUGCAAGCGUUAAUCGGAAUUACUGGGCGUAAAGCGCACGCAGGCGGUUUGUUAAGUCAGAUGUGAAAUCCCCGCGCUUAACGUGGGAACUGCAUUUGAAACUGGCAAGCUAGAGUCUUGUAGAGGGGGGUAGA